GGAGGAAGUCUGGAGAAGAAAAAUGCUGAGCGAGCAGCAAGAUGUCUGCUCCAAGAUGGUGACUGCAGAUUCUUGAAAGAGGAUUGCAGGGGACUUGAGCUUGCCAGGAAUUUUGGGGAGAGGAAAGAAAGGAGAGGAGGAGAAGCCCUUCUUCCUGGCCUCACCUACCAGCCUUGCUACAGAGAAAUAUGCUAGAACUGCAUCUUGCUCAAGCUGCAUAUCCACCAAGGAUGUUGGAAGACGGCAUGGUCCACCUGGCCUACUCUAACUUGCCCCAACCUCUGUGCCUGCUUCACAUAACAGAGAGAGUGCUGCCUUCUUCAUAACCCCCCCACCUAUCACCAGGGGAGGUCCGGUUGGGGUUGCCUCCGGCUGGGUUGCUGGCAACUCAUAACUAGGCCUGUUCUGGGGUUGCCCUGGGACACGUUGGGACAUGCUCCCUAACAAAACCAGAGCCUCUCCUUCGCUGGAUGUUUUUAGGGAAAAAUCUGAAAACACACCUGUUUAAUCGGGUUUUUAUUUUAUAGUUUUAAAGUUAGCCUUUCUCUCUAUUGUAAAUUGUUUUAGCUGGGUUAAUUUUUUUAAUUGUUAUUUGGUUUUAGAUUGCAAACUGCCCAGGGAUUUAUAUGUAGAGUGGCAUGGAAAUGUCCCAAAUAAAUAAAUAAAUAAAUGGUGCCGUCAAAAGG